rnacentral:lncRNA from 1 species
UGAAGUGACUACAACUGUAGUUAGAUCAGUUACCAGUAGUACAGUCAAUGAAUUACCUACUGCUAAUGCAACAGUAUCAACUUCAAAUAGUGAGCUCUUUUUCAAUGCAGCAAAUCAGCCUAUGUUUGAUGAGAUCAGAGGAAGUUUUGGUAUUCUUAUCGAUGAGCUGGUUCCAUUAAUAUCUCAAUCAAUUCCAUCAGCUGCAAAAAUGAAGUCAUUUCUUCAACUAUCCUUCCCUGAAUUGAGUGCUGAGCUGUCUAAUGCUGAUAGCAUUGAAAGCAUUAUGAAUAUUGCUGUCAAAAAAUGCCGAGUGAAUAAUAUCUCAAUAAUAAAAAACAAUUGUAAAACGAUUUAAAAUCACUGAAGCAAAACCACUGAUAUCAGAAUAUGAAGAAGAAGUGAAGACAGUUUGUGGAUCAUUGAAGGAUUUCCUCAGUCAGAAUCAACCUCAGCAUUUUCUCAUUUGUGAAACAAUUCAGUUUACUUUGGGAUGGGAACCAGAUGAGCACUCACUUCAUGACAUACGUAAUCUUUUAGAGGAAGCAUUUAAAGAAUUAAACAAGAGGAUUAUUGUACGAAGCAUUCAUCGUGGGAACUCCAUCAUUAUCAUCUGUUAUGGUCCACAUCAUUUACUAGCUGCUCUUCUCUUGGAAGCACAAGACAACCUAGCUGUCUUGAUGAAGGAAUUUAGUUUAAUUAGACUAACCAUUGGCCACUACACUGUCUAUGAUAAUAGGAUCAGAUACAAAGUAAUGAAUAAUGAGUGUGUUGCAGAGGAGAUUAAACUAGCUGAUGGAGAGGAACAAGAACUGAGGACUUUACUUGAUUACAAA